rnacentral:rRNA from 1 species
CGCAUCUGUGCAUGCAGCAUAUCAAUAAGCGAGGAAAAGAAACUAACAAGGAUUCCCUUAGUAACGGCGAGUGAAGCGGGAAGAGCUCAAAUUUGAAAUCUUCAAGGUUUUACCUUGACGAAUUGUAGUUUAAAGAAGUGUUUUCUGUUGAAGUUUUGGUAAAAGUUCUUUGGAAUAGGACAUCAUAGAGGGUGAGAAUCCCGUAUUUGACCAUUAUUUUCAGCUGUGUGAUACACUUUCAAAGAGUCGGAUUGUUUGGGAAUGCAGUCCAAAAUGGGUGGUAAAUUUCAUCUAAAGCUAAAUAUUGGCGAGAGACCAAUAGCGAACAAGUACCGUGAGGGAAAGAUGAAAAGAACUUUGAAAAGAGAGUUAAACAGUACGUGAAAUUGUCAAAAGGGAAGCGUUUGACACCAGUGUUGUUUUCUCGAAAAUCAAUUAAAAAGAGUUUGAUUUUGUUGUGUAUUGACCUUAACAGCUUGCAUUUCAAUUUUCUUGCUUUUUUUAAUGCACUUUUCGUUUAACAAGUCAACAUCAGUUUCUUUUGUUGUAAAAAGGUCAUUGGAAGGUGGCUUUCUUUUCGGAGAAAGUGUUUAUAACCUUUGACUCCUGCAAUCGGAGAGACUGAGGUCUGCAGCGUAGAUCCUUCGGGGUUAGAUACAUUUGUGCUAAGUUAUAGCUUUUUAUAGACAACUUGUUGACUAUGAUUAGUCUUGUAGCUUACUCGCUUAUGCUAUUUUACCUACGCUUAGGAUGUUGACGCGCGUGUGUGCGUG